CUUCCACCCAUUCCCUGUUUUAGCUAGUCCUCAGUUUGGUCUGGUGUCCUAGCUCUGCCUCCAGAGUCAAGUUCCACCUCCUAACACAUAACCUAUUUACUCUGUGCUUCAGCCAAUCUGCUUAACCGAAGAUGAAAUUAAAAGAUAAAAUGGAUGCAAAAUACUUAUUUAGUAAGAAAGCAGUGAAUGGAGGUGAGAACACAUAGCAAAAUUUAAAUCAGUGAGUUCAGCUUCUUAGCAGCAGCUUAAAUCAAAAUUAUUAUGA
rnacentral:lncRNA from 1 species